UCGCCAUUUCUUAUCUGAUCACCAAAGUUAAGCAAGGCUGGACCUGGUCAGUACCUAGAUGGGUACCCACUUGGGAAUGUAAGGUGUUGUAAU